rnacentral:ncRNA from 1 species
UAGAGGCGAUAUAAAAACACAGUUGCAGUUGGGUAGUCUGCAAGCACCUUUGGUGUCAGUAACCUUCCCUCCAGGUCGUCCUUUAUCAAAUUUUAUCUU